GCUGCCAUCACACGUCAUCCUUCCAACGAACGUGUCGCCUCCGUGUUCUGCCGAGCAGAGGUUGCGUCCAUCCUAAGCGGAAGCCUGCGCGGCGUUCUUCACUGCCAGAAAAUCGAUCACGCCAGGUUAUCUAGCCGGACGUCCUCACCUCGCGGUCGACGACGCUGUCGUAGCUGCAGUCCCCCUUCCGCUCCGACAGGUUGUAAGUUGCAACUGCAAUGCUCUACAUGUUCUGGUCGGUGAUUUAAGCCAUCUCCAGCAAGCGAGCCAUCAGCAGCAACCCCGGCAUUGCUGAUUCACGUUGCUAUCGUCUCCUCUGCCAGAGGCGAUUCGCUCGCAACCUCCUGCGGCAGCUACUCUCCACACGCCUCGCCGUCGCCGGAGAUGGUCCGUCUCAAUUCUGCUAAUCAGGUGUCGAGCAACCAGCACGCAACCAAUCCCAGUGAGGCAUCACGGGUGGUGAAUUGACCUGCAAAACAACAGAAAUGUAGUCAAGUGAAAGAGCAUGUUACAACAUAUUACAGAUGGAACAGGGACCACCAACAUCGACAUAAGAGAAAGUUACAUGUAUCAAUUUUUUCCAUAGUUGAGUAGAUCGUGCUUUGACUUGAGCUUAUUUUGAUUUCCAUUGAGUCUUUUCUUUGUUAACAUACUUUGACAUAUAUUGCAGCUCUUUGUGCUAUUCAAUGUUCUGAAAAAGCGUUACAGGUCUAAUUCUAUCUCAAUCUGUGGUACCCAAUGUUCUGAAGUGUUCUAAAGUUGGCAUAUAUGAUUUUAGUAUACUAGAACUUCAUAACAUAAAAAGGUACAUCAGUUUAGUUUAAGCAUAUAUACUCAAAGUGUUUUUCCUUCAGAAUUCACAUUUCAAACCAUGCAUGAUAAGUCUGUUCACCCCCAGUAGUACCAGAUUAUUUGUUUAAAACAUUGGAUUCAGAAUGUUGCUCAAGGCACCCAACAAGGCAUCAACCAUAUGUAGCGAUGUGCUUUUUUCUUACUAUUGAUUACUAAAUUAAGGGGUUAUUGAUUUCAUCUACCGAUAUUCCUUUAUAGACUUUACCCCAUGAAUUGUAAUUCCAAAGAGUGACAACCAUGAAUAUACUUUUUUUCUAUUUUAAAAUUUUAGGUGCAAUCAUGAAAUUGCUAUGUAGUGAUAGUUUCGCCUUUGAUUCUAAAGGUUUGGUCCUUUGGGUGAUAGGUUUCUUUUGUUUUCUCAUUGCUGGCUUUUCUUGCAUGUUUUUUUGGUCCUAUGAAUUACGGUAGUAAUAUUAGUUCUUGAUAUUUGAACGGUUACAUAUCUCUCACAAUUCCAUAGUUUUUCCUCUCAUGUUGUCUCCUUGCUGAAAGUAUUGAUGUCAAGAUAAAAUAAUGUGUCGGCUCUUCAACAAAUUGAGUACUAAUUCAUUUUCAGUUAUCAGUUUAAAAGUGGGCAGCCGACAACCGGUGGCCACUAUCUUGCACAAGCUGCUCAGAGCCUCAGAUGACCCACUACAUAUAUGCAGUUAUUUGUGCUUUAUCAUUAACAUUUGUCAUUGUCCUAUCUUUAUUUUAUAUCUUUGUAAUGAAUGAUUGCAUGCCGUGGCCAGUUCUUGACUUCUAUGCUUUGGCGUUACUUGAUAC